UACGUAGGGUGCAAGCGUUAAUCGGAAUUACUGGGCGUAAAGCGUGCGCAGGCGGUUCGGAAAGAGAGGUGUGAAAUCCCAGGGCUUAACCUUGGAACUGCACUUCUAACUACCGGGCUAGAGUACGUCAGAGGGGGAUAGAAUUCCACGUGUAGCAGUGAAAUGCGUAGAGAUGUGGAGGAAUACCGAUGGCGAAGGCAGCCCCCUGGGAUGAUACUGACGCUCAUGCACGAAAGCGUGGGGAGCAAACAGG
rnacentral:rRNA from 1 species